rnacentral:rRNA from 1 species
UUGACCUCGGAUCAGGUAGGGAUACCCGCUGAACUUAAGCAUAUCAAUAAGCGGAGGAAAAGAAACCAACAGGGAUUGCCUUAGUAACGGCGAGUGAAGCGGCAAUAGCUCAAAUUUGAAAGCUGGCCCCUUCGGGGUCCGCGUUGUAAUUUGUAGAGGAUGAUUCGGCGAGGGCUCCCGUCUAAGUCCCUUGGAACAGGGCGUCAUAGAGGGUGAGAAUCCCGUAUGUGAUGGGCUGCCUUUAGCCAUGUGAAUCUCC